rnacentral:lncRNA from 1 species
AACAGUGAACGAUAAAGACCGAUCCAAAAGAAAACUCACCUAUAAACGAUAAACGACACAAGCCUUGUAUCCAAAGCACCACAACAACUGUCGAAAAUAAUGACAAUCAUGUAGACAAUUAGACUGUUAGAAGGAGCCAGAGAGCAAAAACACAACUCAUUCCAAUUAACAUUUGCAGUAGUUAUGAAGGCUUUACCUCAUGCGUUUCAGCUCCACCGAAUUAUCUUUACCUCAAGCUCGCACAACAGUUGUGUUCUCAUGCUUUCUCAGACCAUUGAAAUCAGGAACACACUCUUUGGAUACCGGUUAGGGUUAGCAACCUUCAAAAACCAAAAAUGCGUUCUAACCUUCAACCAACACAAAACAAAAAAACAAAGAAAUCGAAGUGGAAUGAUCUUGAAACGUGAAUUUGUGCUGCGAACGGAGCUACCAAUGCCACAAAUGGGGGACCUAGGGUUCAGCUCGCACAAAACUAGCGUUCGGUUUUCACAAAUUGGAAAAAGGAGGGAAAGUGACUUUUAACCUUCCAGAAUGUUAUUAAUUUCGCCCUAAAUUUUUUUUGCUACAUUAUAAUUAAUAUAUAAUACGUAAACUAAAAUAAAAUGUUAAUUUUUAUAGGUGGACUAAUCUC